CGGCAGCACGGACUUCGGUCUGGUGGCGAGUGGCGAACGGGUGAGUAAUGUAUCGGAACGUGCCUAUUAGCGGGGGAUAACUACGCGAAAGCGUAGCUAAUACCGCAUACGCCCUACGGGGGAAAGCAGGGGAUCGCAAGACCUUGCACUAUUAGAGCGGCCGAUAUCGGAUUAGCUAGUUGGUGGGGUAACGGCUCACCAAGGCGACGAUCCGUAGCUGGUUUGAGAGGACGACCAACCACACUGGGACUGAGACACGGCCCAGACUCCUACGGGAGGCAGCAGUGGGGAAUUUUGGACAAUGGGGGAAACCCUGAUCCAGCCAUCCCGCGUGUGCGAUGAAGGCCUUCGGGUUGUAAAGCACUUUUGGCAGGAAAGAAACGUUCCGGGUUAAUACCCCGGGAAACUGACGGUACCUGCAGAAUAAGCACCGGCUAACUACGUGCCAGCAGCCGCGGUAAUACGUAGGGUGCAAGCGUUAAUCGGAAUUACUGGGCGUAAAGCGUGCGCAGGCGGUUCGGAAAGAAAGAUGUGAAAUCCCAGAGCUUAACUUUGGAACUGCAUUUUUAACUACCGAGCUAGAGUGUGUCAGAGGGAGGUGGAAUUCCGCGUGUAGCAGUGAAAUGCGUAGAUAUGCGGAGGAACACCGAUGGCGAA
rnacentral:rRNA from 1 species